AACCAACGCUGGCGGCAUGCCUAACACAUGCAAGUCGAACGAGACCUUCGGGUCUAGUGGCGCACGGGUGCGUAACGCGUGGGAAUCUGCCCUUCGGUUGGGAAUAACUGAGAGAAAUUUCAGCUAAUACCUUAUAAUGUCUUCGGACCAAAGAUUUAUCGCCGAGGGAUGAGCCCGCGUAGGAUUAGGUAGUUGGUGGGGUAAUGGCCUACCAAGCCGACGAUCCUUAGCUGGUCUGAGAGGAUGAUCAGCCACACUGGGACUGAGACACGGCCCAGACUCCUACGGGAGGCAGCAGUGGGGAAUAUUGGACAAUGGGAGAAAGCCUGAUCCAGCAAUGCCGCGUGAGUGAUGAAGGCCUUAGGGUUGUAAAGCUCUUUUACCCGGGAUGAUAAUGACAGUACCGGGAGAAUAAGCUCCGGCUAACUCCGUG
rnacentral:rRNA from 1 species